rnacentral:lncRNA from 1 species
CCACCUCACCCUUCUGUUGCUGACCAAAGGAAUGUUCUGGUCUGGUUAUUCAAUCCUGCCUGUUCAUACUUGGAGAGCCAAAGAGAAAAUGGCUGCUAAGACCUGCAACGUCAGUAGCAGUGAUGUGUGCCCAGUCAGAUGAGGCCUUCUUCACAGUUAAACAGAAGGUGCGAGGCCAUUCUUUGCCCCAAAGGCAGCCUGCCAUGGAGACCAGAUCCACUCCCACCCUGGAAGAGGCAGUGCUGCUACAGUGAGCAGAAGCCUCUUGGCAGAUUGCCUCACAAAGGGAAGGCCAGCCUAGGGGAGCCACAACUGGCCCAGCUUGAGAAAAUGGGAGCAGGAAUCAGGCCAAGGACUCUAGCUCCCUCACAUGUCUUCUCCUUUUAGUGCUAAAUGUCAAGACGUGCUACAGGGCAUGGGCUGUCAGAAUCCAGAAGGUGUACCUUGUUGUGAGCAGAGUGUGCGAAGGGACUGGAGGUGAGAAGACUGAGUUGACACAGCAGCAUUCUUUGUCCCAUGUGGCUUGGGCAAGUCACAUAACCUCAGAUGGAUCAAAAUGGAAUCUCUCUCAGGCCAUGACAAGGGUUAAAUGUGAUAACGGAAAUAAAGGGUCUGGCACAAUGCCUGGCAUAUGGGAGCUGCUUAACAAAUGGCUCAAUAAAAUAAGUGCUCUUCUUCUAAUCAUAAAUCAUGUUUAAUGUUCUUGGCCUGAUCUCCUGUUUGUCUUUGGAACCUAUUCCCCAGCACCAAUGUGGAGGGAGUUCCCAUGGAUUCGUAUUGGUACUGAGAAGCUGGGGACAGGCUGGGGCUAAGACUCUGAAGCACAAAGCCCUUUACGAAGUGAGGAAAUUCAACAUUUUCCAUACUGUAUUAAGUCUUAUUACUGAAGUUUUUUUGAAGAAGGUGAUAUCAACUGCACAAUUAGGAAAAAAGUUGUAACUCUGUUAGAACCAGUUGACAUCUAAUACUAUAACACUUCUACCCCCAGGUGAACAUUAUAAAGGAUUUAAUUAAACAAUCUUAGGAUAAAUUGAGACAGACACCACAGCACCUAUGCAGUGCUUUGGCUGGGAUGUGUAAUAUAAAUUGAAGCAGGAGGCAGGUAAAUUCAAAAGGAGGAACUCAGCACUUACCAAGACAGAGAUGAUAACUUUCAAAAAAUAUCAUUGUCAUAAAAGACAAAGAAAGUUUGUAGAAAAUGUUCCAGUUUAAAGGAGACCAAAGACACAUGAAAACUAAACAUAAAGCACAAUCUUAGAAUGGAUUCCAUACUGGGGAGAAAUUCUUUAAAACACAUUAUUGGGUCAAAAGACAAAAUUGGAUACAGACAGUAGAUUAAAUAAAGGUCCACACACAGAGAGAUACACAGAGAGAGACACAUGCACACAGAGAAAGAGAUUGACAGAGACAGA